UACGUAGGGUGCGAGCGUUAAUCGGAAUCACUGGGCGUAAAGCGCACGCAGGCGGAUUGAUAAGUCAGGGGUGAAAUCCCGGAGCUCAACUUCGGAAUUGCCUUUGAUACUGUCUGUCUUCGAGUUCGGGAGAGGUUGGCGGAAUUCCUAGUGUAGAGGUGAAAUUCGUAGAUAUUAGGAAGAACACCAGUGGCGAAGGCGGCCAACUGGCCCGAUACUGACGCUCAUGUGCGAAAGCGUGGGGAAGCAAACAGGG
rnacentral:rRNA from 1 species